AGUCACUACGAGUUUGAUCCUGGCUCAGAUUGAACGCUGGCGGCAUGGCUAAUGCAUGCAAGUCGAACGAAAGCCCUUCGGGGCGAAAGUGGCGAAAGGGCGAGUAAUACGAUCGAACGUACCCCAAGGUGGAGGAUAGUGUCGGGAAACUGACGGUAAUACUCCAUGUGCUCUUCGGAGGAAAGCUUUGGCGCCUCGGGAGCGGCGAUCGUCCUAUCAGGUAGUUGGUGAGGUAAUGGCUCACCAAGCCGAAGACGGGUAGCGGGUGUGAGAGCAUGACCCGCCGCAUCGGGACUGAGACACUGCCCGGACUCCUACGGGAGGCUGCAGCGACGAAUCUUCCGCAAUGGGCGCAAGCCUGACGGAGCAAUGCCGCGUGUGGGACGAAGCGUCUUCGACGUGUAAACCACUGUCAGAAUCUAGGAACACUGACCAGAUUCAAAGGAAGGGCCGGCUAACCUCGUG
rnacentral:rRNA from 1 species